UACGAAGGGGGCUAGCGUUGCUCGGAAUCACUGGGCGUAAAGCGCACGUAGGCGGCUUACUAAGUCAGGGGUGAAAUCCUGGAGCUCAACUCCAGAACUGCCUUUGAUACUGGUGAGCUUGAGUCCGGAAGAGGUGAGUGGAACUGCGAGUGUAGAGGUGAAAUUCGUAGAUAUUCGCAAGAACACCAGUGGCGAAGGCGGCUUUCUGGCCUGUUCUUGACGCUGAGGCGCGAAAGCCAGGGGAGCAAACGGG
rnacentral:rRNA from 1 species